UACGUAGGGGGCAAGCGUUGUCCGGAUUUAUUGGGCGUAAAGAGCGUGUAGGCGGCCAGACAGGUCAGCUGUGAAAACUCGAGGCUCAACCUCGAGACGUCGGUUGAAACCGUCUGGCUAGAGUCCGGAAGAGGAGAGUGGAAUUCCCGGUGUAGCGGUGAAAUGCGCAGAUAUCGGGAGGAACACCAGUGGCGAAGGCGAUCAUCUGGGGUUGUUCUGACACUGAGGAGCGAAAGCUAGGGGAGCAAACGGG
rnacentral:rRNA from 1 species